rnacentral:lncRNA from 1 species
AUGGGAGCAAGUGCCCAUGGCACACCUCACAGCAAGCAGAUUCACAAAUUCCCAUUAGAUACCGAUGGUCUCCCUAAAAUCCCUCUUAGUGUUGCCAACAACAGAAUGACCGAUUCUCUUUUUAUCCAUUCCUGUCUAGAUCUGUUCCUAUCCUCUGAGAACCAGGAAUCUAAACCAUCAAUGAGUUUCAUCUCAGCAGCUGCAAACUUGCACACCUGCCAACUAAAACCAAACCAAACCAAAGCAACCGAAAAUCUUCAGGUUACUGAGAUUCACGCAAUGUAUUACGUAUUCCGUGUGCUGUGUCCUCACCUAGAAGACCUUGCUCAAAGCCAAGGUCUUUGUGAACUAGCAAUUCAACAAGGAAUUUUAGAAGGGGGCCUGUAGUUACGCUGCCUGCAUUCCAGCUCUGAAUCUUUCUAUGUGUAUGUGUUUAGGGCCCUAAAUAAAAGAAUGGUGCCACCAUCCA